UAUAACGUAGCAAACUGCUCAGUAACACGUGGCCAAACUGCCCUAUGGACCAAGAUAACCUCGGGAAACUGAGGCUAAUCUUGGAUAGUACAUCCAGCCUGGAACUGGCGGAUGUAUCAAAUGCUCCGGCGCCAUAGGAUGUGGCUGCGGCCGAUUAGGUAGACGGUGGGGUAACGGCCCACCGUGCCGAUAAUCGGUACGGGUCAUGAGAGUGAGAGCCCGGAGACGGACUCUGAGACACGAGUCCGGGCCCUACGGGGCGCAGCAGGCGCGAAACCUUUACACUGCACGCCAGUGCGAUAGGGGGACACCGAGUGCGAGGGCAUAGAGCCCUCGCUUUUCUGUACCGUAAGGUGGUACAGGAACAAGGGCUGGGCAAGACCGGUGCCAGCCGCCGCGGUAACACCGGCAGCCCAAGUGAUGGCCGAUAUUAUUGGGCCUAAAGCGUCCGUAGCUGGCCGAGCAAGUUCGUCGGGAAAUCCACUCGCUUAACGAGUGGGCGUCCGGCUGAAAACUGUUCGUGCUUGGGACCGUGAAGACUCUGAAGAGGUACGUUCUGCGGGUAGGGAGCUGAAAUCCCGGUAAUCCUUGCGACGAGACCACCGGAUGUGCGAAAGCAGCUUCCAGGAGCGAACGGAUCCAGACAGUUGACGGGACGGAAAGCUAGGGGUCUCGCAACCGCGAUUAGAUACCCCGGGUAGUCCUAGCCCGUAAACGAUGCUUGCUUAGGUGUUGGCACAGGGCUACGAGCCCUGUGCUGUGCCGUAAGGGAAGCCGUGAAGCGAGCCGCCCUGGGAAGUACGUCUGCAAGGAUGAAACUUAAAGGAAUUGGCGGGGGGAGCACUACAACCGGGAGGAGCCUGCGGUUUAAUUGGACUCAACGCCGGACAUCUCACCAGCUCCGACAGCAGUGAUGACGAUCAGGUUGAUGAUCUUAUUCGAGCUGCUGAGAGGAGGUGCAUGGCCGCCGUCAGCUCGUACCGUGAGGCGUCCUGUUAAGUCAGGCAA
rnacentral:rRNA from 1 species